rnacentral:rRNA from 1 species
UACGAAGGGGGCUAGCGUUGCUCGGAAUUACUGGGCGUAAAGGGCGCGUAGGCGGCUCUGUUAGUCAGGCGUGAAAGUCCUGGGCUCAACCUGGGAACUGCGCUUGAUAACGGCAGGGGCUAGAGGAUGGAAGAGGGUCGCGGAAUUCCCAGUGUAGAGGUGAAAUUCGUAGAUAUUGGGAAGAACACCGGUGGCGAAGGCGGCUCACGUGGCC